CCUUCGAUAGCUCAGUUGGUAGAGCGGAGGACUGUAGGUCCUUAGGUCGCUGGUUCAACUCCGGCUCGAAGGA
rnacentral:tRNA from 1 species